CCAGCUCAGUAAAUAAAUAAUCAACAUAAUCUAUAUCACAUACACUUAAUACAAUUUCCACCCAAUCACAUAACUUUCCAUGAUAUUCAUAGUUUAGGUAUAAAGUCAUACCAUUAUACUCAAUUCAUUACAACCAUCAUAGAAGAAAUACAAUUCAACAAUUAUGGUUAGUUCUCACAGCUUGUGGAUCCCUUUUAAUCUGCUGCUCCGCCUCAUCCUCACAUAUCACACACGUAAG
rnacentral:lncRNA from 1 species